GACGAACGCUGGCGGCGUGCCUAAUACAUGCAAGUCGAACGCAGUGGGGACGGGUGAGUAACACGUGGGUAACCUCCCAUCAGAGGGGAUAACACUUGGAAACAGGUGCUAAACCGAUACUGAUGGAUGAACCCGCGGUGCAUUAGCUAGUUGGUGAGGUAACGGCUCACCAAGGCCACGAUGCAUAGCCGACCUGAGAGAGUGACCGUCCACACUGGGACUGAGACACGGCCCAGACUCCUGCGGGAGGCAGCGGUAAGGACUCUUCGGCAAUGGACGGAAGUCUUACCGAGCUACGCCGCGUGAGUGAAUGAGGUUUUCGGAUCGUAAAACUCUGUUGUUAGAGAAGCGGUAUCUAGCCAGAAAGCCACGGCUAACUGCGUGCCAGCAGCCGCGGUAAUAC
rnacentral:rRNA from 1 species